GUUACAGCAGCCGCGGUAAUACGGAGGGUGCAAGCGUUGUCCGGAUUUAUUGGGUUUAAAGGGUGCGUAGGCGGCCUUAUAAGUCAGUGGUGAAAGCCCAUCGCUCAACGAUGGAACUGCCAUUGAUACUGUAAGGCUUGAGUACAGACGAGGUAGGCGGAAUUGAUGGUGUAGCGGUGAAAUGCAUAGAUACCAUCAAGAACACCGAUUGCGUAGGCAGCUUACUAGGCUGUAACUGACGCUGAGGCACGAAAGCGUGGGGAGCGAACAGGAUUAGAAACCCCCGUAGUCC
rnacentral:rRNA from 1 species